UGGGCAAUGAUGAUUGGCGCAGGGGUACGUACCUCAGCCAAUGAUGGGGGCUGAGUGUCGGUGCCUGCACUCCGCUCAGUGGGCGUGUGGCCGGCUGGCGGGGGGGCACCGUCAUGGAACUAUCGCCGAGUCUGAGCCAC